UAAGAUCAAUAAUUAAUUCAUUAAUUAUUGAGGUUUAAAUCUGUUAUUAGAAUUAUUAGGGUUUGGUUAGGAUUUAGUUUGGGAUUUAGGGUUUGGAUUAGAUUUUGAUUUAGGGUUUAGGAUUUUAUUAGGAUUUGAUUUAGAAUUUAGGAUUUGGAUUAGGGUUUGGUUUAGGAUUUGGUUAGGAUUUGGUUUAGGAUUUAAGAUUUGGAUUAGGAUUUGGUUUAGGAUUUGAUUAGAGUUUGAUUUAAGAUUUAGGAUUUGAUUAGGAUUUGGUUUAGGAUUUUGUUGGAUUUUGGUUUAAGGUUUAUUUAGGAUUUGAUUUAGGAUUUAGGAUUUUAUUAGGAUUUAAGAUUCAAUUAGUUUAGGCCUAAAGUUUAAAUGAAAUUCAAUAGGAUUUUAACUAGAAUUAAAUUAAGAUUGAAUUGAGAUGUAUUUGAGUGAUAUUUGUGUUCUUUCUAAUGUUUCUUUAAGAAUUUUUAUUGUUUGUUUGAAAUUUCUUUGAGAUUUUUUUUGAAUUUGAUUAAGCUUGCUUAGCAUUAUUAUAAUCUAGUUAGAGAAUUGUUAGUAUUCUAUUAGAAUUAAGAUUUCGUUAUUACAAUUUCUAUUCUUUUUUCGACAACCAAGUGCUUGGAGCAUUCUCAAGCAAGACUUCACGUAUUACGACAGCGUUCUCUUCCAAUAUAAUUUGAUGCUCACAAUUU
rnacentral:lncRNA from 1 species